GUCCAGAGCGCAAUACGUCAAAAUUUUGGUCGUCUCGUCCCGCACUAGGUCGCCCCCUUCAUCAGACAUUCCGACCUCGUUCGAUGGUUCCACCAAGCUGGGCCAGGCCCAUCACAAUGCACUACACAAUCCUGCUCCUGCACCCCUAUCUUCUCUCCCCUAGCGAACCCUCCCUAUCCAACCCUAGCCGCCAUGCCUUCUCACCCCCACAAUCUCCUUCCUCCACCCGUGGCCAGAGAAGCCCCAUCCUCCGCCUUCCGAGGUCACCGUCGUGUUCCUUGAUCGGCCGUGCGAUCUCACCAACGCCAUCCUCGCCAUUUUCUUCCAAGUGCGGCUAGGGAAGGGCAAUUUGGCUGCGGGACUACGGAAGAAAUCAAUUUGGAUAGUUGCGCCGCUAGCUACAGGCCUCUCCCCGCUGCGUCGUGCUGUCCCUCGAAAGUGCCGGCGCCGCCGAGCUGCAGACCAAGGAGAGCAGAGACAGAAACACUUUCCUCUAGGUGGGAGAGCAAAUCCCUUAUCCAUGUCCUCCCCUUCUGUAUGCGGCCGCAGAAGCUCCAUGACGCCGUUCCCAUGUUCCAGCCACCGCUCCAUCACCUGGCCCAUGGUCGCUCUGUCUCCCCCCUCCACUGUCUUUGGCUUGCAUCUAGGGGCGGCAUCCCCCUCCCCCAUGCUUGCACUCCAUAGCCCCCUCACUCACCAUAUCUACCUCCAAUGAGGCCUUUGCAGAAUUUAUAUUCUGAUCUAAACCUCAACCCCCUCUUGAUUUCACAAAAUCUAACCAUGUAUAUGCGGUUGAUUUGUCCAACAAGGCAGAUCCACAGCAGUUUGCAAAAUUAUAUUUUCCUAGCGGUGCAGAUCCACGAUGCCAUCGUUCUGGUGCUACCCAGAUGUUUUUCCUAUCCUCUCUCUCUCUCUCUCUUCACAUGAUACGCCACUCUCCCUCCAGUUUCCUCUAUUACAAGGUAGACAAAGAUGGAGUUAUUUGCAUGUUAUGUUCUACUGCAGUAUGCUUCUGAUUUCAGGUUAUAUAAAUGUGCCACAAUUUAUCUAUUUGAUUCUUGCAUGGUAGACAUCAUAUCAUAAAAGUAGAAAGUGUGCUGAAAUAAUUGGAAUUGCACAUGCUAUUGCUUUAUGGUUCCUACCACUGAACUUUUAUUUUUUGCGGAUAUACCACUGAACUUAACCGUGUUAUAGUUCUUUCAGUGUUCACCUUUGAUGGAGAAUGUCCAAGGGGCACUGCCACUGUAAACUGCUCUAUGGGGUUUGAUAAUAUGCAACUUAACUGAAGAAUCCAUACAGUGUAUGUUUGUUUCUCACAGCAUUUAUGAUCUCCCAGUAUUUAAAUUUUUGACAUCCACUUACAGGAAACAUAAUAAGGUAAACCAUUUUUCAGAAUUGAAUUGCAUAUAUCUUGAGUAGUAGUGUGGAGUUGUGAAGAAUGGCGUCGUUCACGUGAAAGCCCUUGUUCCCCGUCAACUCUAUCAUGCCCCACAACAGUUCCUUCAGAUUUGCACAUGCUGUUUCUGAUUAUCUCUGGUACUUUGAUAGGGUUCAGUUUUUACAAAUUUUAGUUGUCAUAUCUCCUGCAAUAUUUGUAAUCUCACGUGUGUACUUAAGUUGCUUAACCAUGUUGAUAUUGGAAAUGUAGCUUCAAGUUCCACGUGUUUAGGCUCCAAAUCAUGUGUGAUGCCAUGUAGAUAUGUCAGGUCCAAGAGGUGAUCAAAGCGGUGGAGAAGGAGCUGGGUUUAAGUGCUAGCCCUUCAUACUUUGAUCCAUCGAGCUUAUUUGGUCACCACUGCAUCUUUUUAUAUUGUGCAUGGAGAACGCAGGUGAAACAGAGCAUAUUUAUUUGCAGCUCAAAUGGCAAAUGCAGGAGUAAGCAAUCUGGUGUAUGCGUGCAGGUACAACAGGCCUCAAUCUUUUCUUAUGGAGCCCUCGUCGUGCACAAGUGUAAACUGACAUGCCUUUGUUUGAGGCUUUUCUAACUAUCCAUAACAUGUGCAAUUAAUUGCAUGCCUCGGAUCGAAAUAUUAAAGGUUACUCGUGGUCAUUUUGAAUUCCUACUUAGCAAUGCAGUGCAUUAUACUGUAUUUUAUUUGGCCGAACCACCUUUUUCUAGCAGCCUUUUGUCUUGAUCAAGUCGCACAAGAAAUUAUUACCACAUUCCACAGCAGCAUGUGAGGCAAAAUAUGAGAGAAAAUAAUUGGAUAACAUCAAUGGGAUUUUUCUAAUUAUCUGAAUAGCGAGCAAAGUAACAUACUUUCUGUCACUUAUUUCUUCAUAGCAGCUAUAGAUAUAAGAUUAGAAACUCUAAGCUCAGCUGAGCUUGAUGCAUGGACGUUUUAUUAAAUUAUCUUUGAUGUUUCCAUUUCAGAUGAGAUUCUCUAUCAGCUAAGUGUCUGCAAGAGCUGUCGGUUCAGAUUUCACAUCAAAGUUUUGGACGAGCAACAUUCUGCAAGCACCCUUUUUUCCUGGCACAACUAUGUAUUGUGCAAGAGUACUAAAUCUCAUUUGAAACUUAGAAAAUUGGUUGUCCGGUUGCUCUUUUGUUUGUAUUGGUUAAACCUUUUUUUUGUCAAAGGAUGUACCCUAGAGAAGAGGCAAAGCGACUCAAAGCUUUGUUGUAGCAGAUUAAGGAGAUGUAGAAAAAGCACGGUGAUUGAAGAUCAUGGAGAAGACAACCAUUUGCAUACAAUGUCAAAUGUGUUUUUGAGAGGAGGCAUUCACACAUGGUCAAGUUCAGCGGUGUGACAUGACAUUCUUAUCGCCAACGUAACCAUGUCUGGUGGCCACUUGGGUCUGUCCGUGGACAUGUUUACACAGCCGCACAUAACACCUGGUGCGAGCACGACCACGACAGAUUAGGAACAGAGAGUCGGAGUGGGGGCUGCUGAGAGGCCACUCCGUCCCACCCUUUCAUCACCGGAUUAGGAGCCAACUGCCAAACACAGCAACGCCAGAUAGAAGUGAUGGGAUAUGCAGAUGAGGCUGCCCAUGAUACUAGGGCUGGACACCGUGGAUUAGUUUGCAGCAGAGGCACCGCGGUGAAAAUUUCUAAGCUGAUUGAGGCAACACAAUGAGAACAUGAACUGGCGGUUUGUGGAUUUUUACUUUGUGUGGUCCGGUGUGGGAUUCGGGGAUUUUUGCUCCGGUGUGGUGGCCGGUGUGUUGUGACUCGUGAGCUAGGCUACCCCCGGUAUCUACAUGGUAUCUACAUUAGCUGUGGUGAGCAAGCGCUGAAACCGUCAUGGUGUGCGCGUAUGUGACCAGAGAGAGUUUGGGGAGACUAGAUUAAUUUGUGGUAGAAUUGGUAUAAUGAAUCUUAUAUACAUAUAUGAGGCUACUUACUAAAGUUUACUACUAAUUAAAUUUUGUUACCUUU